GAGAGUUUGAUCCUGGCUCAGAAUGAACGCUGGCGGCAGGCCUAACACAUGCAAGUCGGACGGAGUUAUAUUGUAGCUUGCUAUGGUAUAACUUAGUGGCAGACGGGUGAGUAAUGUAUAGGAAUCUACCUAGUAGUACGGAAUAAUUGUUGGAAACGGCAACUAAUACCGUAUACGCCCUACGGGGGAAAAAUUUAUUGCUAUUAGAUGAGCCUAUAUUAGAUUAGCUAGUUGGUGGAGUAAUAGCCUACCAAGGCAAUGAUCUAUAGCUGAUCUGAGAGGAUGAUCAGCCACACUGGAACUGAGAUACGGUCCAGACUCCUACGGGAGGCAGCAGUGGGGAAUAUUGGACAAUGGGCGAAAGCCUGAUCCAGCCAUGCCGCAUGAGUGAAGAAGGCCUUUGGGUUGUAAAGCUCUUUUAGUGAGGAAGAUAAUGACGGUACUCACAGAAGAAGUCCUGGCUAACUCCGUGCCAGC
rnacentral:rRNA from 1 species